rnacentral:lncRNA from 1 species
AACAAUUAAAUGGAAGCCCAUAUUUUAUUUGAAAAAUUCGCAGCUCAAAUAAAAUAAAUAACAGUCCACCUUUAAACUAAAAUUUCAGCCCAGAUUUUAAUAAACAUGUAUGCACCCCAAAUUUGAUUAAAUUCGGGCUCAAUCCUUCUUAAAAGCAAUCAAACCAAUUAAAUAAAAUAAGGGCCUGAAUAAUGAAUAAAUCCCAGCCCACUGAUUUUCUUUAAAAAAAAAACGCAGCCCAACUCCUUGAGGCCCAAGAAUAAGCCCAAACCCUAUCUCCCUUAUUUCUCCCCCCUCACUGCCGCUUCCCCCAACAUCUCUCUCUUCCCCUCACACGCACACACACACCACACACCACACACCACCGCCCAGCUCCCCCCCUUUCCCUCAUCCGGCGGACGACAGCAGCCGGCCUCCGGCCGCUACCGCCGCCGCCCCUGACCUCCAUCUCCUUCUGUCUCCCUCUCUCACGACAGCUCACUCACCCACACGAACUGGAAGCCGUCGCCCAUUCCCUUUCCUCGACUCCGGCAGUCAACGGCAGCAGCAGCGAAGAGCCGGCCACCACCGCCUCCGACCCCAGAUCUGAAAUCGCCGCCUUCCUCCCUCACCAUGACUCUGUCUCACUCCCUCCUCCACUCACUCCG